rnacentral:rRNA from 1 species
AGCUCCAAUAGCGUAUAUUAAAGUUGCUGCAGUUAAAAAGCUCGUAGUUGGAUCUCGGGUGCAGGCUUGCGGUCCGCCUCGCGGCGGUCACUGCUCGCCCUGACCUCCAGGCCGGUGUCACCGUCCCUUGGUGCUCUUGAUUGAGUGUCUCGGGCGGCCGGUACGUUUACUUUGAAGAAAUUAGAGUGCUCAAAGCAGGCCCUUGCCGCCUGAAUAAUGGUGCAUGGAAUAAUGGAAUAGGACCUCGGUUCUAUUUUGUUGGCUCUCGGAGCUCGAGGUAAUGAUUAAUAGGGACUGACGGGGGCAUUCGUAUUGCGGCGCUAGAGGUGAAAUUCUUGGACCGUCGCAAGACGAACUACAGCGAAAGCAUUUGCCAAGCAUGUUUUCAUUA